CUGUUCCUGACUUGAUGCUAUUACACUGCACUGCCAUGGGAAAAAUCAACGCUGUGCCUCUUACUUCCUCCACCUGAAAUUUAGAGAACACAGGACACAAAGACGGGACCUCUGUAGGUGAAGCUACCUUCUGAAUAUCCUGAAUUCCAGUCCCCUGCCCCUCAAUGAAAGGGAAGCUGCUGCAUCAACCCAAGGAGCGACUUUGGAACUUGGGUCCGGAAAACUGAGGGUGAGGAACAGAGGUCUGCGGAGCUGGGCUGGAACGACCCUGAACCCUAUGAGGAAGAUUGAUUGGGAAUGCACAGGAAAGGAAAAUGAUGCUCUACCUAACAAUGCUGGAUCCCUCCCUCAGCCCCUCCCUAACCCUGCUCCCCAAGAUGGAACAUGACAACAACGAGUGCCUUUCCAUCCUCAUUUUAGGGAGGGCUAUUUCUGAUUUCCACUGGAAGCAACUAACCCUCGAUCCUAGAGGGACCGGAGUAACAGUGGACUCCUGGCUGGAAUCCUGGCUUUUUCUCAAACCUUCAUGAGGUGUGGUACUGAGAGAGGAAGGGAAUGGAUGAUCCUGGUUGUACUGGACUCGGGGAGCAAGUAUGAACCUGUGCUUAAUUCAUUCCCCAACGGAGCUUGCAGGCACUCAAUGUGGAAAGGACAUCAGCUUACAAGGCUGUGACAUUUUAUUUCAUUCCACACUCCCAUUCAGCUGCCACUUCAGCAUUUCACAUGGAAGAAGGAAGCCGCCCAGAUCUGGGAGUCAGAGGACCUGGAUUUGAAUUCCAGCUCUGCUGUGUGUUGGUGGGUGAGUUACUUGACAUUUCUGUUCCUCAGUUUCCGCAUCUGAUUACCUUACCUGCCCCAGCACUUAGUGCAGUGCUUGUCACAUAGUAAGCGCUUAAUGAGUGCCAUACUUACUGUAAUUAUUAAGAGCAUUUGGCUAGGAAUGUGACUGUGAUACCAAGCAGCCAGGUCUGCCUGCUGGAAACUCUGCUGGAGGGAUGGUAAGAGCUGCAUUUUAUGAGAUUAUCUUUCUAAAUCUUCCAUUUUUGUGUUGCAUGUCUCCAUAUUCCAUUUCAUCUAGCUCUCAGAGCAUCUGGGAUAGGUUGAUUAGGGGAUUACACUCACAUUAAACUAUUACCAGGUACAGCAUUGUAAUGUAAAUACAGGCAUUUUUGAGAUUGCAUAACUCCAGUGGGACAGUACAAUUCUGUUUUCUACUCUGGGUUUAUCUGAAAGACUUUCUUUCAGUUGUUCCAUUGCCUCUGUUUAGAGGGGAGGUGAAAAAGCCCAUUAUGAGGCGUCUGUGAGGGUCAAAGCCAGUUGUUCAUUUAAAAAAAAACAUUUGCCAAAUCCACAUGUUCUUUGGUGCAGAGUUUUUCAACCAAAUGAAAGUGAGAUUUUCAGCUAGUACUUAAAGAGGGCUCACAGAUGGGUCUUUAGCCGGGAGACUUGAGACUGAGUACAAAAGUGGUGUGUGCUUUUCGAUUGGCUUGGGAAUCUGCCCAGGUGACCAUUUCUACUCACCCCUGGGGGUGGGUGGACUACAGGAUGGUCUAGGGAGAAAAAGCCAGAAAUACAUUGUUUGAUGGGUAUUACUGUUGCUGGACUCAAAGCUGAACUUCCAUUAGAAAUCUCUUCAAAACUCUGCCUACCCUUUUCAGGCUCUCACAUCAAACAUUGGAAGUGCCAACAGCAGAAGAGACCCAUAAUCUAUUCCAGGAAGAGAGGUGAGUGCCUUCUCUGCAGCCAACAUACAUCAGGAUUAGCACUAUGGAGAAUUCUUAAGUUCCUAUAGCCAGGCUCACUCUCAACAUGUCCACAUUCUGGGACUUUUUAGAAAACUGGUCUUGCUUAAUUAAGUAUGAGCAAACCACUUGGGUCAACUAGCAAACUGGAAUGAAUCCCUCAUUUUGAGCGAUCAUUCUGCCCAUUCAGCAUGCACUUCCUGGAAAACCCAUCUCACUUCCCCAAACCAGGCCUUGGGCUUAGCAGGUUGAAACUGCGAAAGAAGUGUUGGAUGGUGCUGGGGAGCUAAAUGAUGGGGAGGAGCUUGGGAUCUGCUGUUCUCCUGACCAGCAAGGAGGUACCUGGAGAGUGAAUGACACCCAGCACAGCCCAACCUUUGAGAAAGUCCUGGUUGGAGGGCUUUGAAGGAGGCCAGGUUGAUGCCUGACUCACCCUGGUUUUGACCUAGACCCCUGCACUCCCACUUACUCAAUUUGGGAAAAGAUUGAGAGGAUUCAAAGCUAAGGGGAUCGUUUGAAUAUUUGGCUUGCAGCUAUGCUGCCCCUUUGAAUACAUCAGUGUUGCAAUUUCCUUAUCCCCCAGGGAGGAGAAGGGAUGGCAGAAGUACCAUAAUGUAGACAGGAAAUAAGAGAUCAGGUGUUAAAGCAUGCAUUAAUCCAUCCUCUUAACCUGGUGAAGGAAGAGGCAAAUGCUGGUAUUGUAACAUAUAGUUUUGUUCUACAAUUUUGAAUAAGUGGCCAGGCAUCCCAAUUUAGCAGUUCUGUCCAAAAAUGUAAGGAUCCCUUCUACCUGCUGCUUUAGGUUCUUCCAGAUAUUGAGGUAAGUGGCUGCCCCUGUCUACUUAGGGUAGGCUAGAGCUAUAGGGAGGGGAGAGAGAAAAGGGGCAUCCAGGACAUGAAACACUUCUCCCUUCCUCUGCCCUGAGCCUUUUUCCUGUUCUCUCCCAUCCCUAUAGUGCCCCUUUGGCUGGGGAUGUAAGUAAAUCACCACUAACUUGUUUUGCUUAGUUUUGCAGGAGACUGUUACCUCCCGAAAGCCGGAGCUGGGAAAGACCUCCAGAUCAAGGGAUCUGCCACAUUACUCUCUCCUUUCCUUUCUCUUUUCUCUCUGGCAUGCUGAUUACUGUGCAGAUGGAUGCCCAGUUUUUAACUCUAGGGUCCCAGUGGCACAGCAAUUUAGAGCCAGCUAUGGGAGAGACUCUGUCGGGGACUCGGAUUUGUUCUCCACAUCCCCAUGGGCUGGCUUUUGAGAUGUGGAGAAAUCCUGGUAGACUGUACGCUCCUUUGGGGCAGGCACUGUGUCUAAAAACUCCCUUGUAUUGUAUUUUCUUAGUGCUGUGCACACAGUACGUGUUCAAUAAAUGCCAUUGUUGGUCUAUGGUUAUCUCGUU